rnacentral:rRNA from 1 species
AUUGAACGCUGGCGGCAGGCCUAACACAUGCAAGUCGAGCGGAUGAAGGGAGCUUGCUCCUGGAUUCAGCGGCGGACGGGUGAGUAAUGCCUAGGAAUCUGCCUGGUCGUGGGGGAUAACGUCCGGAAACGGGCGCUAAUACCGCAUACGUCCUGAGGGAGAAAGUGGGGGAGCUUCGGACCUCACGCUAUCAGAUGAGCCUAGGUCGGAUUAGCUAGUUGGUGGGGUAAAGGCCUACCAAGGCGACGAUCCGUAACUGGUCUGAGAGGAUGAUCAGUCACACUGGAACUGAGACACGGUCCAGACUCCUACGGGAGGCAGCAGUGGGGAAUAUUGGACGAUGGGCGAAAGCCUGAUCCAGCCAUGCCGCGUGUGUGAAGAAGGUCUUCGGAUUGUAAAGCACUUUAAGUUGGGAGGAAGGGCAGUAAGUUAAUACCUUGCUGUUUUGACGUUACCAACAGAAUAAGCACCGGCUAACUUCGUG